UACGUAGGGGCCGAGCGUUGUCCGGAGUUACUGGGCGUAAAGCGCGCGCAGGCGGCUCGUCAAGCCUGACGUGAAAGCCCCCGGCUCAACCGGGGAGGGUCGUCGGGGACUGGCGGGCUUGAGGGCGGCAGGGGUUGGUGGAAUUCCCGGUGUAGUGGUGAAAUGCGUAGAGAUCGGGAGGAACACCCGUGGCGAAGGCGGCCAACUGGGCCGGACCUGACGCUGAGGCGCGACAGCGUGGGGAGCAAACAGG
rnacentral:rRNA from 1 species